UUUAGUUCAACGGCCGCGGUAUCUUAACCGUGCAAAGGUAGCACAAUCAAUCGUCCUCUAAAUAAGGACUAGUAUGAAUGGCACCACGAGGGCUUAACUGUCUCCCCCCUCCAAUCGAUGAAACUGAUCUUCUCGUGAAGAAGCGAGAAUUAAUGUAUAAGACGAAAAGACCCCAUGGAGCUUUAAACUCAUCAACAACCACUAUAAUAAAAUCAUAUUAAUUAGUAGAACUGUUCCUGAUAGUUUUUGGCUGGGGUGCCCCUGGAACAAAAUAAAUCCUCCAGAAUGAAGGAAUUCAUAAUACUAAUCCCAGAAUUACCACUCAAAGAAUCAAAAUAUUGACAUAAUUGAUCCAAUAACUUGAUCAACGAACCAAGUUACCCUGGGGAUAACAGCGCAAUCCAUUUCAAGAGCUCCUAUCGACAAAUGGGUUUACGACCUCGAUGUUGGAUCAGGGUAUCCUAGCGGCGCAGUAGUUGCUAAAGGUUCGUUUGUUCAACGAUUAAUAACCCUACGUGAUCU
rnacentral:rRNA from 1 species